AGCAAAACUACUCGUGUUGUUUU
rnacentral:siRNA from 1 species